UGAGGAUGAAGUGAAGAUUCAAUUAGCCGAGGAGUCGGUAUGCACUGAUGCUUAAGUGUAUGUAAGUGAUGGCAAUCGGCAAUCUGUAAAUGUCGCGGAUGCAGAAUAUUGGCUACGGCAUGACUAAAUUUUGGCCUCAGGGCUGACAGGUUUAGUGACCUCUGAAGCUUCUAGUGCUGAUUCUCUGUUUCUACUAUGUACUCUGUGGACAAAAAAUGUAUUGUUCUU
rnacentral:lncRNA from 1 species